GUCAAACGAGUUAUUGGGU
rnacentral:snRNA from 1 species